GUUUCUUUCCACGCUGACGCAAAUCAAUCGCCUCCUCUUUCUCCUUUACCUCCGCACAUCGCGGCGCCCCUAUCCCGUCAGCCGCCGACCCGCGCACACACCCAUCACGCCCCUUCCCUCCCGCUUCCCCCCUUCCCCGCUCCCCCGCCGACGGCAGCACCUCCACCUGCGCCACUGCCGGAUCGACGGGAGCCGCCGAUCGUCCUCCUCCGCCAAACACCAACCUCGCCGCACAGAGCCGCGUCCCCAUCCCAUCAGUCGUCAGGCCACCUGCGUGUUCCCCUUCCCCGUCGCCCGGGCCUCUCCAUCGGUGAUCUCCUCCCUUCUCACCCUCAAACGCCCCCGUCGAUUCCCUGCAGCCCAUCGUAUCCUAAAACCCUACAACCACUGACCCACAUCGUCUGUCGCCGAUCAGCGUCGCCGUUUGUUCACAAGGAGAGCGGCAAAGGAGGUCGGGACUCGGUGUAGAGCGACGAGCCCAGCGAAGUAGGCCGAUAGCUAUCCGCCAUAGCAGUGAUGAAGGCCGGCUGGUGGAGCGCCCCUGUCAGCGCAGCUUUGCACGGGAUCUCGCGCGGCCAGACAUAGGAAUCGCACAACCUUCUCAAUCCCGACGCUGCGCCCCGAUCGUCGCCGCUCGCCGUUGGAACCGGCACCACGACAGCCGGGAAGGAACCAGAGGUGCAUCGCUUCCAGCACCAGCGCUCUGUCCCUGCAUCUUCCAUCCCCGGUAAGUUGCAAUUAAUCAAGACAAUCCCCAGAGGUCAGGUGCCAAUCCCACAAGAUGUUAGAGUUGAAAGAACUUUGAGACACUGUUUGUUCCAAUAACCAGUAUUGGACCUUUGUUUACUACCACUCAGUAUGGUCAACUUAAUUCACAUUAUUUGCACGCAAUAUGGUGAGACAAGUGAAGUUUCAAGGUCUAUACUUUCAUGGCGAUAUAUUUCAUUGUUUGUUCUACAGCUCAUGUGUCAGCUGAUCGAAAGAUUUGGAAGUGAUGAAGCAGGCACAUGGUAACAGUAGCUCUGAAGUAUUAUUUCAUAUUCAACCUAUGUACAUGAAGAAUUCUAAAAAAAAUUAUAGAUGUAGCUGCAUGUUCAUUCAGUGUCGAGGCACCCCAUGCUGAUUUUCCCCAUAGAAAAUUGAGUCUAUCUCGUAUAUUUAAUUACAUUCGCUGUAAAUACUGAACAAUUCAUGUGAUUUUCCAUCGGAAAAAAAAAAUCAAUCUACAGUGAUAUCUGAGCUGCUGGGCUGUGCCGUGCUGCUGCUCACUUUCGCUGCUGAGUGUUUCUUUGCAGCGAGGAGAGAGACCACUUUAACUAGAAUGUUAAGAAGGUAUUUCAUGUUCUGAUGGACUAAUAAUGUCUAUUUCUUGCCACUUAUUUUCAGGGAAGUAUAUAGCUGUUGGAAAAGAUCACUGUUCUUUGAUAGCUCGUAAGUAUUUUCUUGUUGGCUUUUAUGCAGCUUAGGAGAAAAUAGAAGGCACCAUGUCUUUGGUAUUUUCCUGACAACCUUUUACUGGGGCUCUAAGGAUGAUAAAAUCCUGGAAUUAGAGACAGUAACACACAUCUGUUUGCAAUUGGGGUCAACGAAGAAAUACUGAGUUGCAAUUACAUUGCAAAUGCAAGUGGAUAUCAACACUUCUGUACUGUCAAAGUUCCACUCGGAUAGCUGCAUAAUAGAAGCGGCAUCAUCUUGCAGCCAACUUGCUGACCAUUGCGGCUUUUAUUUUAGAUGACAGAGAAGGACGAGGUGAUCAAACUGGCAUACUGCCACUAAACACAACAUAUUUGAAAGAAGCAAAGAAACAGGUGAUAUAUUCCAUACUGUUUAAUUUAGUAUUCGGAAACAUACAAGAACGUAAAUCUUGCUAAUACAAAACUGAAAAACCUUAACUGUAUAUUAGAAUUAAACUUGUUAAUAUCACGUGAGACUUUGAAAUACAGGUGGCAUCAAGCUUUGCUGCUGAAGGAGGAAUGGAGUGAACUGAAGCAAUGUAAUGAAUUUGUACGGUGAGGAAGGCUUGGAAAGAAACAUCGGUUAAAAUACUUCCUCUGAACUUUUGAAUGUCCAAAGUGGAACAUAUGAAGAGUACAGUAGAUGAAAAACAACCUUGUGAGCCCAAUAUUUUAACUGUCACAUCAGAGCCUUUGGGAGAAAGGAACCUGGUUAUGAAACCGUUUCUUUGUGUAAAACAUGAUGUAAAGCUUCCAAAUCCAGAACUACGCAUUGCUAGCUGUUGGUUGUGCUCCAUAGGCUGUGUUUAGUUCCACGCUAAAAUUGGAAGUUUGAAGAAAUUGGAACGAUAUGACGGAAAAUUUAGAAGUUUGUGUGUAGUAAAGUCCGAUGUGAUGGAAAAGUUGGAAGUUUGAAGAAAAAAGUUGGAAUCUAAACAGGGCCAUAAUAAUAUAUCUGAGGGGCGGAUGCUUGUUUUCAUGUCUUUAUGAAACGUAUCGUCUUUCAGUUGUUUGAUUUGCAUUAUCAGUUAUCGUAGUGUUAGCACGGGCAUAUUACUAGUAUUAAUCGUAUAAAUACCACAUACUGCUAGCAUCACACUAUAUGAGAGUAUUAAUCUUUGAUAUUGUUACACCUACAUUACUCAUGAGAUGAAAUUAAUGGUUGGAUAAACUUUAUAUUACUCAUCAUCUGUACAUACUAGUAUUUGUCAUGCUAUGCUCUGAACAAAUUCCUUACAUGCUCUAUUGUUAAGAUAUACAUUCUAAUAAGCUUUAGGUGCUCAGCAUAAUUUCCUACAGAAUGUUUCUGCUGCAUGUCCUCCUAUGGUCACUUGAUUAAAUAUGAACUACUACUGUCACCAUAUACCAAUUUAUGUAUUCAUAAUCAAUCUAAUAGGUUCUUCUUAUCUCUAUUAACCAAAUACAUGUACAGUAUUCAACUCAUAUGCAUUUAUUUCUAUGAUGUUUCUGACCAAUUUAAAAUGUGCCUUGAUGUUGACUAGAUAAUAGAUGAUCUACCUGCAUACUCUGUUCAGGGUAAAUUCUAAAUCAAAGUCUGAUUCUAACAUUUAAAUUUUUUCCCACAUACUAUGGGUAAUAUUUUUGCAUGAAUAGUAGGGUCAAGUCCUGAUAUUAAUGCACAUUAGUCUAAUUAAAUCCUUAUAUAAAUGUUUACUGAACUGACUAAAAUUCUAUAAUGGUAACACAUUAGCAUGAUCAAAUCCUUAUGCUACUAUUCAGAGCAUAAUACAGGAAAUUAAUAUGAAUUCCUACAUACAUGAUGCAUUAUGGUAGUAUGAAUAAAGUGAUCAAAUGACCUACAACAAUGAAUCUUGAUCUGGCUUUCAAAGCAUUUUGAUUACUAAAAUAACAGGCAAAUGAUGCUCCUAUGGUGUUGGUCUUAGCGAUGGAAAUACUACAAUCUGACUUUGAUGUCAUGCUCUUCUAGAAUCAUUUGCUCUAUAUGCUCUGCUAUAGAGGCCUAUAACUCUGUUCAUUAAUUCUAACGAUUCAAUUAGAUUUCCUUUACCGACCUACUAUGACACACUGCAUAUAUUUUACUUGACAUAAACCUGAACAAGUGAGAUUAGGUGAACCUUUGUUCAGUACUGAAGGUUAUUUUAUUUAAGUUAUAACUAAAUUCUAACUAUUUAUAAUUUCAGGAUUCACCAAACAGAUGCACAUGCAGCUGUUUACCUAAAUGCAUUUACAUAAUGAUUCUAGACAAACUAAAAUGUUUCUUGUUGCUAACCCCAAAUAAUUAUAAACUAGAAUUAACCUAUUUACCUAUCAGUUAAAAUAAAAAUAUUUAUGUCCUACUAGUUACACUUCCUACUCUGCAGCUCAAAUUAUUAAUAUGAACAUUUUUACUGGAUCAGGGAUGCACUUGUUCAUCGUUUAGUGGAUGCAAAAGCAACACAUAGCUCCUAUACAAACUAGUAAAAUGCAUCACAUAAAAAUCAUGCCAUGAUAUGGUUUUAGUUUCAUUUUAAUCUUAGGAUUACCUUGUUAAUGACUCUAGUGUGGCUGUGAAGGUUGUGUGAUUUCUCAUGUUGGGACUGUAGCUUCACUCCCUUACUGGAACUGAAGCUCUUGAAUAUUUCUCCUCCUUGCUAAAGCACCAGCUACUCCUCCAGAAACUGAAGUAUUUGGACACUUCUUCUUGAGCUGGACUGCUGGAACACCACUUGCUCCUUCACUUCAGCAUCUUCUUGCUACUUUGGUUUAUAUGCCUCCCCUGGUUGCACACACAAGGUUGCUACGGCUGUGGUGAUGCAUGGCUGCUGCUAUUGUUCUUUGCAGUAGAAAUUGGUGGUACUAUUGCUGUGGCUACUGCUGACCUCGGUCUCUACGAUACAAUAGCUUGGGGAGGAAUGAGUUCACACUGCAGUAGUCAUCUUGGUCUUCCUUAAGUGACUCACCUACUUGGGGCUGGUUGUCUGCAGCUAAGCUUGACACCUAAGCAAUGCAUGCUCGGUGGAAUGAUGGAUAGAAUUUUACUAAUUUUCAGUUUAAAUGGAAAAUCUGGUAAAGUAUGAUAUGUUUGAUACUUUUGCACAUGAGUUCCUCAAGUCUGGUAAAAUUGGAGGUUACUAUUAGUUUAGGGACUGACUUUUAAUUUAUUCUAUAACGCACGGUCCCUUUUUGAAAUAUUACUAAUUACACGAUAUGUUCUCGGCUAAUGUAUUUGUACAAUAUAUGAAAUGCAUACUAUAUAAGAUUUCUAGUGUACAAUUAUAUGCAUGUAUGUAUGCAGACGUGUAGUAGUAAAUUGUAAAUAAAGAACUAUGAUUUCUAC